AGAAUGCACCGGCAGUCCGCGGGAAACCAAAAUGGCGAGGGGCUGUAUUGAAGUGGGCUGUGUUUGAGGCCGGUGUAAGAACGCUCAUUCUACCCUCAACCCUUGUCUCCAAGGACCUCGGUUUGUGCGUGCAUAUGUGCCGGGUACCCGGUGGGGCGGGUGCCCAGUAAGUGCUUGGACUCGCAGGGGAAGCGCCCACGGGGACGGAUUGGUUGUUUUUUCCUGUAUGAAGCAGUUGGCACCACUGAAGUGACCGAAUGAGAUUCCUAAAUAUAAAAAUGUAUUUGAAUUCACAUUUUAAAAUUAGUUCACCUGCAACUCUACAGGGGCAGGUAAUUCACUGGUCCACAAGCGGUCUCCUUUACGUCGAAACCAAAAGACCCCAACAUCCUUGACCAAGCUGUCUUUACAGGAUGGACAUAAAGCCAAAAAGCCAGCAUGUAAAUUUGAAGAGGGUCAGGAUGUCCUAGCUAGAUGGUCAGAUGGCUUGUUUUAUCUUGGCACUAUCAAAAAGAUAAACAUAUUGAAACAGAGCUGCUUCAUCAUAUUUGAAGACAGUUCUAAAUCCUGGGUUCUCUGGAAGGACAUUCAAACAGGAGCCACAGGAAGUGGGGAAAUGGUCUGUACAAUAUGUCAAGAAGAGUAUUCAGAAGCUCCCAAUGAAAUGGUUAUAUGUGACAAGUGUGGCCAAGGAUAUCAUCAGUUGUGUCACACACCUCAUAUUGAUUCCAGUGUGAUUGAUUCAGAUGAAAAAUGGCUCUGUCGGCAGUGUGUUUUUGCAACAACAACAAAGAGGGGUGGUGCACUUAAGAAAGG
rnacentral:sRNA from 1 species